rnacentral:miRNA from 1 species
CCUGGAACUUACUUUGUAGACCAGGCUAGCCUUCAACUCACAGAGAUCUGCCUGCCUCUGUCUCUCUUGAGUGUUGGGAU